GCGGUCGUAGUACAAUGGUAGUACCCCAGCUUCCCAAGCUGGUCACGCGGGUCCGAUUCCCGUCGACCGCU
rnacentral:tRNA from 1 species